CCUACGGGUGGCAGCAGUGGGGGAUAUUGCACAAUGGGGGAAACCCUGAUGCAGCGACGCCGCGUGUGGGAAGACGGUCCUCUGGAUUGUAAACCACUGUCCCCAGGGACGAAGAUGACGGUACCUGGGGAGGAAGCUCCGGCUAACUACGUGCCAGCAGCCGCGGUAAUACGUAGGGAGCAAGCGUUGUCCGGAAUUACUGGGUGUAAAGGGAGCGUAGGCGGGAUGGCAAGUUGGGUGUUAAAUCUACCGGCUCAACUGGUAGUCGCACUCAAAACUGCUAUUCUUGAGUGAAGUAGAGGCAGGCGGAAGUCCUAGUGUAGCGGUGAAAUGCGUAGAUAUUAGGAGGAACACCAGUGGCGAAGGCGGCUUACUAAACUGUGACUGACAUUGAUGCUCGAAAGUGUGGGUAUCAAACAGGAUUAGAUACCCCGGUAGUC
rnacentral:rRNA from 1 species